rnacentral:rRNA from 1 species
CACUCCUCUCUCAACCGGUCAAUCCCCACGACCUCUCUCCCCCUAAGCGCAUCUUCCUCCACGCCCGACCACCUCCCUCCAUGCCACAGCCACAGCCACCUCCCACGCUGCCCCCGCCCCAGAUCGCCGCCGACGUGGCCCCACCUUCCUACCAUCCCCAGCCAACUCCCUUCCCUGCCUCUAAACAACACCGGCCGUCCACCUCCCCUGGCGCGUCGAUCCGCCUCCAUCCAUCACGGUACAUCACCGCCAUGGCUAGAUCCGCGAGAUCCGCUGCGCCACGCCUCCACCGGCCUAGCCUCGCGCUGGCGCCUCCACCGAGUCAAAUCCCACGCUGGAGCCCCCCAACCUUCUUCUCCGCCGACGCACCUCGGUCGGCAGCGAAUCAUCCCCUGCGACACGGCGCGGCCCCGUCCCAGACCGGCAGCGAAUCAUCCCAGCUCUCCUUAUCGGCAUCGUCCUGGGCCCUGCCGCGUCGAUCUCUGGCCGGGUCCAUGCAUCCCGCGGCUGAAGGUCCCCGCCGGAUCUGGACCCUUCUCGUCCAACGACGACAACAAAUUCUCCGGCCGGCCCCAGAGGAUUCCAACCGGCGAAGGGUCCCUGCUCGCACGCCCCUCGAGACCCCUGCAGUCCAGAACUCCCUGGCCACGCAACCUAGGAAGGAUCCUCGCGCAGCAUUCCCAGAGCUGUGGGUUGGAUCGAGGGCGUGGACACGACCUGCUGGGUCUGAUGCGGGAGGGUGUGGUAGACUACCGAUCUGCUACACAACCCGGCAGGAGGCUCCUGGUUAACAUUCUGACAGCGCUGCUCAGGUUGUGAUACUCACUGCUGCUGCUGAUGUGGUUCUUUGAGGCGGAUGUUGGCUGGGUGCAAUGCGGACAAACGUCGCCAGCCCAGGAAGCACUGGAUGGGUUUUGACAAUGUUCAGGGCAUGGAUGAUGCCAAGCAGAAGCUUGUCAAGGAAGGGGGCACAACACCAUGGAGGGGUUGGGAGGGUGGGUGGGUACUCAGUAGUACAUAGUUACCCAACUAUAGCUCACAAGAUGUCGGACAAAAAGGCAACCACAAACGAAUGAGAAUGUAGCUAAAGAAGGCCAGAGAAAGGAGCACCUGUAGUUAAAUUGCUCUCAUAGCGGUUCGUCAUGAAUCUCUUCUCUUUUGGGCGGGAUUACUUGGUGCGAGCAGAGAUACUUGGAGAGUGAUGCAACCAACGGACGGUUCUGCUUAGUGACGAAGCUGAUCACCUCCCAGCUGGCAUCCUUUAGCUUAACAAUGAAUGGUUUCUCUCACAUAGAUUUGAAAUAUGUGUUCUCACAGUAACAAAAUAUCCUAUUUUUUAUUCUAAUGUCUUGUUUCUUAUGCAGAAGGUACGAUCGAUAGGCCCGGAUUGGUGAGGAUCAAUUACCCAAACAUACAUGGACACCCCAAAGGCGCCUGCACUACUGGACCUCCUUUUCUUUCUUUUUUGUAAACUCGGGAGCUUCUAAGUUGCACAUGACUGAUGCAUAAGUCGCACAAAAGUGUCCAUAGAGUUGCCUGUCCGAACCAUUUUUGUGUUGCUGUACAUUUGCCCUCAUCUUUCUACAUGUACAUGUAACUCUCUUUGUUUUCCCUUUUCCUAACUCUCUUUGUUGCCUCUGAUGUACACAAAACUCGCUUAAAUACACACCGGAGUUGCUUACCAGUAGCAACUCCUUUGAUCACC